rnacentral:rRNA from 1 species
UACGAGUGCCCCAAGCGUUAUCCGGAAUUAUUGGGCGUAAAGGGUGUGUAGGUGGUUUUGUUAGUCUUUUGUUAAAGCUCUCGGCUUAACCGGGAACAUGCAGAGGAAACGGCAAAACUAGAGGAUGCGAGAGGUGAAUGGAACUCAUGGUGUAGGGGUGAAAUCCGUUGAUAUCAUGGGGAACACCAAAAGCGAAGGCAAUUCACUGGCGCACUCCUGACACUGAAACACGAAAGCGUGGGUAGCGAAUGGG